rnacentral:rRNA from 1 species
CCUACGGGAGACAGCAGUAGGGAAUAUUGCUCAAUGGGGGAAACCCUGAAGCAGCAACGCCGCGUGGAGGAUGAAGGUUUUCGGAUUGUAAACUCCUUUUGUUAGAGAAGAUAAUGACGGUAUCUAACGAAUAAGCACCGGCUAACUCCGUGCCAGCAGCCGCGGUAAUACGGAGGGUGCAAGCGUUACUCGGAAUCACUGGGCGUAAAGCGCGCGUAGGCGGGAUAGCAAGUCAGAUGUGAAAUCCUAUGGCUUAACCAUAGAACUGCAUUUGAAACCGUUAUUCUAGAGUAUGGGAGAGGUAGGUGGAAUUCUUGGUGUAGGGGUAAAAUCCGUAGAGAUCAAGAGGAAUACUCAUUGCGAAGGCGACCUGCUAGAACAUAACUGACGCUGAUGCGCGAAAGCGUGGGGAGCAAACAGGAUUAGAUACCCCGGUAGUC